UGAGGAACAUGACCUUCGGCGGGGGAUAGCCGGCCCAACGGCCGGGUAAUACCGCGUACGACCUUUCGGGGACAUCCCUGAAUGGUGAAAGCAGCAAUGCGCCGAUGGAGUGCCUCGCGGCCUAUCAGCUAGUUGGUGAGGUAACGGCUCACCAAGGCAACGACGGGUAGCUGGUCUGAGAGGAUGGCCAGCCACAUUGGGACUGANACACGGCCCAGACUCCUACGGGGAGCAG
rnacentral:rRNA from 1 species